UACGUAGGUGGCAAGCGUUGUCCGGAAUUAUUGGGCGUAAAGCGCGCGCAGGCGGUCCUUUAAGUCUGAUGUGAAAGCCCACGGCUCAACCGUGGAGGGUCAUUGGAAACUGGAGGACUUGAGUACAGAAGAGGAAAGCGGAAUCCCACGUGUAGCGGUGAAAUGCGUAGAGAUGUGGAGGAACACCAGUGGCGAAGGCGGCUUUCUGGUCUGUAACUGACGCUGAGGCGCGAAAGCGUGGGGAGCAAACAGG
rnacentral:rRNA from 1 species